CUUAAAUUGAAGAGUUUGAUCAUGGCUCAGAUUGAACGCUGGCGGCAGGCCUAACACAUGCAA
rnacentral:rRNA from 1 species